GUGAAUCAUCGAAUCUUUGAACGCACAUUGCGCCCCCUGGCAUUCCGGGGGGCAUGCCUGUCCGAGCGUCAUUUCUGCCCUCAAGCACGGCUUGUGUGUUGGGUGUGGUCCCCCCGGGGACCUGCCCGAAAGGCAGCGGCGACGUCCGUCUGGUCCUCGAGCGUAUGGGGCUCUGUCACUCGCUCGGGAAGGACCUGCGGGGGUUGGUCACCACCACAUUUUACCACGGUUGACCUCGGAUCAGGUAGGAGUUACCCGCUGAACUUAAGCAUAUCAAUAAGCGGAGGA
rnacentral:misc_RNA from 1 species